CCUGGUUGAUCCUGCAAGUAGCAUGUGCUUGUCUCAAAGAUUAAGCCAUGCACGUGUAAGUACACACGGCCAUUACAGUGAAACUGUGAAUGGCUCAUUAAAUCAGUUAUGGUUCCUUUGAUCGCUCCAUCUGUUACUUUGAUGACUGUGGUAAUUUUAGAGCUAAUGCAUGCUGACCUCCUGGGAUGCGUGCAUUUAUCAUGACCAAGAACAAUCCGGGCUCGCCUGGCCGCUUUGGUGACUCUAGAUAACCUCGGGACGAUCGUACGUCCCUGUGAUGGCGAUGAUGCAUUCGGAUGUCUGCCCUAUCAACUUUUGUUGGUACUUUCUGUGUCUACCAUGGUGACCACGGGUAAUGGGGAAUUGGGGUUUGAUUCUGGAGAGGGACCCUGAGAAACGGUAACCACAUCCAAGGAUGGCAGCAGGCAUGCAAAUUACCCACUCCUGACUCUGGGAGGUAGUGACAAAAAAUAACAAUAGAGGACUCUUUCAAGGCCCUGUAAUUGAGUACACUUUAAAUCCUUUAACAAGGAACCAUUGGAGGGCAAGUCUGGUGCCAGCAGCUGCAGUAAUUCCAGCUCCAAUAGCGUAUAUUAAAGUUGCUGCAGUCAAAAAGCUUGUAGUUGGAUAUUGGGAUCGAGCUGGCGGUUUGCCACGAGGCGAGCUACCACCUGUCCUAGCCACUGCCUCUCGGCACCCCCUUACUGCUCUUGACUGAGUGUCCUGCGGGUCCGAAGUGUUUACUUUGAAACAGGCCGGUCGCCUGAAUACUUCAGCGAGGAAUAAUGGAAUAGGACUCUGGUUCUAUCUUGGUGGUUUUCGGAACUGGGGCCAUGAUUAAGAGGGACGGAUGGGGGCAUUUGUAUUGUGUCGCUAGGGGUCAAAUUCUUGGACCGGCGCAAGGAACGGUGGAUGCCCUUGCGGGACUUCGGCCAUGCCAUUAGCCAAGAAUGUUUUCAUUAAUCAAGAACGAAAGUCGGAGGUUCGAAGACUAUCAGAUACCGUAGUAGUUCCGCCCAUAACUAGCGAUCUGGCAGUGUUAUUCCCAUGACGUGCCGAGCAGCUUCCAGGAACCAAAGUCUUUGGGUUCUGGGGGGGGGGGGUAUGGUUACAAAACUGAAACUUAAAGGAAUUGACGGAAGGGCACCACCAGGAGUGGAGCCCGUGGUUUAAUUUGACUCAACACGGGAAACCUCACCUUGCCAGGACACAGAAAGGAUUGACAGAUUGAUAGCUCUUUCUCGAUUCUGUGGGUGGUAGUGCAUGGCCAUUCUUAGUUGGUGGAGCGAUUUGUCUGGUUAAUUCCGAUAACGAACGAGACUCCUUCAUGCUAACUAGUUACGCAACCCCCCAGCGGUGGGCCAACUUUUAGAGGGACAAGUAGUUUUCAGCCACACUAGAUUGAGCAAUAACAGGUCUGUGAUGCCCUUAGAUGUCCAGGGCCGCACGCGCGCUACACUGAACGGAUCAGUGUCUACCCUUCACUUGCAAGUGUGGGUAACAGGCUGAACCCUGUUCGAGAUAGGGAUUGCAAUGAUUCCCCAUGAACAAGGACUUCCCAGUAAGUGCGAGUCAUAAGCUUGCGUUGAUUAAGUCCCUGCCUUUUGUACACACCGGCCGUCGCUACUACCGAUCGGAUGGUUUUGUGAGGUCCUCGGAUCGGCCUAGCCGGGGACGUCCCCCCAUCGGAGAGGGGGAGCACCGAGGGUGCCUCCAUCCUCUCCUCACUGAGCCGGCCCCUGAGCUGCCGCGCCGGGUUGGGGCG
rnacentral:rRNA from 1 species